CCGCUCCCCGGCCAUGGCCGCCUCCCCGGGCUCCGGCGCCGCCAACCCGCGGAAGUUCAGCGAGAAGAUCGCGCUGCACACGCAGCGCCAGGCCGAGGAGACCCGCGCCUUCGAGCAGCUCAUGACCGACCUCACCGUGUCCCGGGUUCAGUUCCAGAAGCUCCAGCAGCUGCGCCUCACGCAGACGCGGAACCAGUACCACGGGGGGUCUCUGCCCAACGUCAACCAGCUGGGCGGCGGCGCCGCCGACUUCCAGCCGUCCUUCCCCCCGGCCGACAACGUCCGUGGCACGCGGCACCACGGCUUGGUGGAGAGAGCCUCCCGCAGCCGUUUCCACCCUCUGCACCGCCGGCCCGGAGAGAAGCCAGGACGGCAGUUUGAUGGAAUCACCUACGGAUCCGGCUACCCCUCCUCCCAGCCGCCGGACGAGGGCUGGUCGAGGCAGCCACCGCCGUGGAAGGAAGACAAGCCGCCGGGAUUCCGGCUGAUGUCGGCGCUGAACAGGACCAACUCAGACUCGGCCCUCCACACCAGCGCGCUGAGCGCCAAGCCGCAGGACCCUUACAGCGGGGCGGACCAGGCGGCCUGGCCUCCCGCCCAGUGCAUGGUGGGUUUGUGCGACGGCGAGAGCGAUGGAUACAGGGAAGCCGCUUCCUUCCCCGGCCCCCUGAGAGAGGACGGUCUGCUGAACGCACCCAAGCCGUUGCCCAAGCAGCUGUGGGACGCCAAGAAGGUCCAGUCCCUGGCUGCUCGUCCGAGGUCCUGCGAAAUGGGGGGCGUCAACUCCCUGCCCCCGGCCGGGGACCCGCGGCUACCUUCCUCCGGCGCCGGCCCCGGCCCCGGCCCGAGCUCAGGGCUCUCGCCCUUCCUGGGGAUCCCGAACACCGGCGGGUCCCUGCCCGACCUGACCAACCUGCACUUCUCGCCGCUGCCUGCAUCCCUGGAGCCCGGCGGGGUCGGGCUCGGGGGCAUCGGGGCAGGGCACAGCGUGGGCAACCUGCCGGCCGCUACGACUCACCUGGGGCUCCGGAGUUCUCCAGGUCUGCAGAGCUCCCGGAGUAACCCGUCCAUCCAGGCCACCCUGAGCAAGGCCGCCCUGUCGUCCUCCCUCAGCAGCUGCCCGCAGCCCGCCGCCCCCCACGCCUCCGCCCUGCACCCCUCGCUCCGCCUGUUCUCCCUCAGCAACCCUUCCCUUCCCACUUCCGGCGGCAGCGGCCCCGCGCGGCGGCGCCAGCCCCCCGUCAGCCCGCUCACCCUCUCCCCGGGCCCCGACUCGCACCGUGGGUUCGCCAGGCAGUUCUCGGCCUCCGCCAGCCCUCUCCACCCGCUCCCCGGCCCCCAGGUUUUUCCCUCCGACAGAAGCCCCCUUUCCUUCCUCCCCCCGGAAGCCCCCGCCCCGCCCCCCCCUUACCCUCUGGGCCAGGAGUUCUCCCAGCAUCCCCUGCAGCAGCCCCCCCCGUCCUCCCCGCUGCCCCACUCGGACUUCGAGCUCCUCUCCCCCCACGGCACUUCUCUCAGCAGCUUCUUCCCCGACGUGGGCUAUGACCACCACCACCAGCAGCAGCAGCAGCAGCAGCAGCAGCAGCAGCAGCAGCCCGGAAGAAUGGGGCCGGCAUUCGCUCAGCAGGGCGCCGUGAUGGAGCAGGGGGGGAGUUCCGGAGCGCUGCAGGACUCGUUCCAGCUGCGACCAAACUUCCUGUAUUCCAGCUGUGGGAAUUUCCCCCACACCAUCCUCCCAGGUGGGUCCUGGGCGCCGCCGCCGGCAACGUGGCUUAAUGAAGACGCCAGCACCGGCCUGUUCAGAGACCUCAGCUGUGCCCUGGCGGGGGUGCCCGCGUCCUCCUUUGCCCCAGACGGUCCAUUUCCCCUGGACGAGGGGCUCCAGAUCGAGCCCCUGAGCUUGGACGGACUCAGCAUGCUGAGUGACCCCGACAUGGGGCUGCCCGACCCCUCGGUGGAAGAGACGUUCCGCUCUGACCGGCUGUGACCGGAGCUCUGGCCGGGGGGCCGCGGCCGCCCGGACCCGGGGGCGGUGGGGGGCCGCCCUCGCUUCGAGAACGGCUAGGAUCUCGUCCCCGAGCCCCCGGAACAGUCCGCUGUGAAAGCGAGCGGCCCGGCGGCGCCCGGCGGUUCCCGCGGACCCGUCGGCGGCCCCGCUGGCCGCCCCUCCGAGGUCACGCGUGGAGCGACGGAGAACAACCACUGACUGUGAAGAACGCCGGCGUGGGGGCUCGGGCCGGGGGUGACGGCCGAGGUGGGGGGCGGGGGCUCCGCUCUGGUACCCGGAGCCCGAGACCUCCCCGCCCCGUCGGGCCCCGUCGGGGGGGAUGCCGCUCCGGGACCCGGAGCCCGGGGCUCCGCUGACGGGCCGCUCCCGCGGUACCGGAGCCCCGGACCCUGCCGGUGGCACGUCGUCCCGGUCCCCGGAGCUGGCUGGGGGCGGGGAGGUAGCGGGGGGUGAAGGGCCCCGAACCUGAGCCGAAGCUGAAGCAGGGCUUCCAGCCUGGCAGCCGGGGGUGCCCGCCCGGUCCCCUUGCGGCCGUCCCGGGGGCCCCCCGCCGUGGCUACGGAGCCGGGCACCAGGAGCAUCCCGGGUCCCCGGAGGGGACGGGGGCGGCAGGUUUCCUCUCUGCCGGGUCAGGUAGGGCCGGGCGGGGCGGGGCGGGAGGGCCCCUGGGCUCUCUCCCGGCUCCCUCUUCUCGGCCCCGGGCCUCCGCUGGCUGGGAGUGGCGAUCCCACACCUCCGGUGGCCCGGCCCCCCGGCCCCUCCCCCCCUUCUUCCCCUCCCCCCCCGCCCUCCUAGCCUUCGCAGCACUUUCAGCCCGUCGGUAAGUGGCACUUUACCCUCGGGUCCUGGGGUGCCAGGGGGUCGAACUCUGGCUUGGGUUUGUCCCCGGGGCCCCGCGGGCCCACGUCCAGCACAAGUCCCGGGAGGACCGUCUCCUCCCUCCGCGCCCCCCCGCCCCCCCCCCCCCCCAAAGUGCCUCAACCACCCUGAGUGGGAAGUGCCUGUGGCCGAGGACGCUGGCAGAGAUCGAACCGGUCGUGGGCAGCGCGAGGGCCCCCGGCCCUAGCGUGCCCCCGCUCCUCGGACCCGAAGAGAUGUUUUUAAUCCUAGAAUCUGUGAACCGGCCAGGCCCGCCCCUCCCCGCCUCCCUCCCCUCUCCUCCCCGUCUCGGGGCCGGCCCUCCGGGUCCGGCCCGGACAGGCGGCGGCCCCUUAAAAGAAGGUCUUCCCUCGCCCGCCCGCCUCGCGUCCCUCCGAGCUGGCUCCCUCGGGUGGGUCCGUGGUCGGUUCACACUCCGCGGCGGAGCCGGCGCGGCUUCCCUCCUCCCCGCCCUCGGCCGGCCGCCGUGCGGUCCCGGCCGGAGUAGGUCAAGCGCCUCGAUGGGGGUCUGCCCCCACCCCCGGCAUCGGGUCGGGCCCGGGCUGCCCGUCACCCCGGCCGAAAGGGGUCACCGGCCCGCUGCCGUGCGCCCUUUCGGCCGGGAAGCGGGGUUGGGCGGGGGCCCCGGCGCCUCUCUGCCCCGGGACCCCCGUCUCCCCCGCGGGCCCGCGCCCGCGGCCUGGCAGGCGGUGGCCGCGGGGGUCGGAAAGGCGGCGCCCGGCAGCAGAGCGGACGCCCGAGCUCAGCACUGAACCUCCCUCCCCCCAGGCGGGGCCCCCCACUCUCAGAGAGUCUCGGGCAUUAGAAACCCAGCUGCCGCCCCGGGCUCGAGCCCGCCGGCCCCGCUCUCUGCCCGCGGAAACCCCACCAACACUACGCGCUUCCGUCCGGCCCCCCUCCCCUGCGCGUCUCAAGUGGCCUCCCGCUGCCCAGCGGGCCGUGGCCCACACCCAGCGGUGUGAAAAGCGAUCAUGUAAUCUGCUCCUCUCAACUAGCACUUCCGGUAUAGAACUAAAACGCCCAUCUGUCCGCCUGCCCGCCUCCUUCCUUCCACCCCUUCCCUCCGCUCCCGAGGCCGCAGCGGGCGGGACGCGCGGCGCCGGCCGGACCCUCCGCCGCGGAGCCCGAUUCCUCGUGGGGGCCGGGCCUGCCGUCCCCCCUCCGUCUACUCAGACCCAUGUGCACGGGUAACGGAGGGAGAAUGGAGUGGGGAGAGGAGAGGCCAAACCGAGGAGAGCUUCCCAGAGGAGACGUUCUGAGCCGAGACAGGCGGGAUCGCCGACAGAUUUCGCGGAGGCCCGGGAGGACGGGCCUACCCCGAGAGGAGGCGGCGGGGCGGCCCCAGCGGAGCCCGGACCACCUAACGGGAGUGGCCCGGUGGCGAAGAGCCCGUCUGCUUCUGCCCUACCACUUGCGGCUGCCGUCAGAGCAGAGUAGGGGGCCGCGGGGGGCAAGGGGAGGUGGGUGGUGGACCCUGACGUAGGGGGCCUGCUCCCUGGGCUGCCGACCCCCCCGUCCUCCCCCACUCCCACCCUUCCUCCCUAGCGGGGGCAGGGAGCUACUCCUCUCAGCCUCCUUACUCAGGGCCACCGGGCCCCUCCCGCUCUGAAAGAGUCCCACCCCCUCUCUGGGCCUCAGUUUCCCUUUUCUAUGGCAUUUGUUAAGCGCUUGCUAUCUG